GAUGAACGCUGGCGGCGUGCCUAAUACAUGCAAGUCGAGCGAACAGACGAGGAGCUUGCUCCUCUGACGUUAGCGGCGGACGGGUGAGUAACACGUGGAUAACCUACCUAUAAGACUGGGAUAACUUCGGGAAACCGGAGCUAAUACCGGAUAAUAUAUUGAACCGCAUGGUUCAAUAGUGAAAGACGGUUUUGCUGUCACUUAUAGAUGGAUCCGCGCCGCAUUAGCUAGUUGGUAAGGUAACGGCUUACCAAGGCCACGAUGCGUAGCCGACCUGAGAGGGUGAUCGGCCACACUGGAACUGAGACACGGUCCAGACUCCUACGGGAGGCAGCAGUAGGGAAUCUUCCGCAAUGGGCGAAAGCCUGACGGAGCAACGCCGCGUGAGUGAUGAAGGUCUUCGGAUCAUAAAACUCUGUUAUUAGGGAAGAACAAAUGUGUAAGUAACUAUGCACGUCUUGACGGUACCUAAUCAGAAAGCCACGGCUAACUACGUG
rnacentral:rRNA from 1 species